CGUCCUUGGGGUGUCCCCAGUGCCGCGGGUGUCCCCAGUGCCGUGGGUGUCCCCAGUGCCGUGGGUGCCCCCAGUGCCGCGGGUGUCCCCGCAGGACGGGGUUCCCUCGGUGACACGGGGUGCUGCCCCCCUCGGUGGUUGCCGGGGCGAGGGGACCCGCGCGGUCCCGGGGACAGCCGAGUGUGGGGGCAGAGACUGGGACCGGCGCCCGGGGCGGGCGGGGACACGGGGCAGGACAGGGACUGGGACCGGGAUUGGGACUGGGACCGAGAUCGGGACAGAUACUGGGACCGGGACUGGGACUGGGACCGGCGCCCGGGGCGGGCGGGGACACGGGGCAGGACCGGGACUGGGACCGGGACAGGAACUGGGACAGGGACCGGGACUGGGACAGGGACAGGGACAGGGACAGAGACCGGGACAGGGACUGGGACAGGGACAGGGACCGGGACUGGGACUGGGACUGGGACUGGGACCGGGACAGAUACUGGGACCGGGACUGGGACCGGGAUCGGGAUCGGGAUUGGGACUGGGACAGGGACAGGAACCGGGACAGGGAGAGGGACAGGGACCGGGACAGGGACAGAUACUGGGACCUGGACUGGACUGGGAUCCGGACCGGGACAGGGAUCGGGACAGGGACAGGGACAGGGACAGGGACAGGGACUGGGAUCGGGAUCGGGAUCUGUACAGAGACAGGGACCGAUACUGGGACCCGGACUGGGACUGGGAUCGGGAUUGGGACUGGGACAGGGACAGGGACUGGGAUCGGGAUUGGGACUGGGACAGGGACAGAGACAGGGACAGGGACAGGGACAGGGACAGGGACAGGGACAGGGACAGGGACAGGGACCGGGACUGGGACUGAGACCGGGACUGGGACUGGGACCGAAACAGGGAUCGGGACAGGGACAGAUACUGGGACCUGGACUGGACUGGGAUCGGGACCGGGACCGGGACAGGGACAGGGACUGCGGCCGGGACUGGGACUGGGACCGGGACCGGGAGCAGAACCAGCUGCGGUAA
rnacentral:lncRNA from 1 species